AACGCGAAGAACCUUACCUACUCUUGACAUCCAGAGAACUUUCCAGAGAUGGAUUGGUGCCUUCGGGAACUCUGAGACAGGUGCUGCAUGGCUGUCGUCAGCUCGUGUUGUGAAAUGUUGGGUUAAGUCCCGCAACGAGCGCAACCCUUAUCCUUUGUUGCCAGCGGUCCGGCCGGGAACUCAAAGGAGACUGCCAGUGAUAAACUGGAGGAAGGUGGGGAUGACGUCAAGUCAUCAUGGCCCUUACGAGUAGGGCUACACACGUGCUACAAUGGCGCAUACAAAGAGAAGCGAACUCGCGAGAGCAAGCGGACCUCAUAAAGUGCGUCGUAGUCCGGAUUGGAGUCUGCAACUCGACUCCAUGAAGUCGGAAUCGCUAGUAAUCGUAGAUCAGAAUGCUACGGUGAAUACGUUCCCGGGUCUUGUACACACCG
rnacentral:rRNA from 2 species